GGCGACAGUGCGCAUGUGUACAGAAAGGCCGACACGCUCAGCUACAGUGCGCUGAUUGGUCAGAUUGCCUGUCAAUCGGAAUAGCGAGGAGGCGGACUCAGGGCCCUGAAAAGGCGGAGCUUUGCCUUCGCCGGGAAAGAAAGUGCUUCGCCUCACUUCGGUGCUUUUGGGGAAAUUGAGGCACGGGGCUGAGAAGGAAUUUACUCGGGAUCAUAGGACCUCUCCUAAGGCAAAACAGGAACGAAAGGACACACAAAAAUGAGUUGUGUUUGCUUCUGGAGAAAGAAUCAGACGUGAGAAGAUGAAUAGUGAUUUUCACCCUCUGGAAUUGUGCUCCACAUCCAGCAUGGAAUUUGACAUAGGACCUUAAU